rnacentral:rRNA from 1 species
CAAUAGCGUAUAUUAAAGUUGUUGCAGUUAAAAAGCUCGUAGUUGGAUUUCGGGACGGGCCAGUUGGUCCGCCGCAAGGUGUGUUACUGACUGGUCCGUUCUUCUUCGCAAAGACUGCGUGUGCUCUUCGUUGAGUGUGCGUAGGAUUUACGACGUUUACUUUGAAAAAAUUAGAGUGUUCAAAGCAGGCUAUCGCUUGAAUACAUGAGCAUGGAAUAAUGGAAUAGGACUUUGGUCCUAUUUUGUUGGUUUCUAGGACCGAAGUAAUGAUUAAGAGGGACAAUUGGGGGCAUCCGUAUUUCGUUGUCAGAGGUGAAAUUCUUGGAUUUACGAAAGACGAACAACUGCGAAAGCACUUGCCAAGAGUGUUUUCAUUAA